CAAAAAAUAUGUGCUGAUUGAGAUAAAUAUUCUUACUAAUUUUCUUGAUAGUGAGAUUAUACUCUCUCUGUAUCUCUCUCACGCGAAACCCUAGCGCUACCGCCUCCACCAUCACGGUUCUACGUUCCUUUGCAAGGUACAUGAUUUGGAUUCAGUUUUAGUUUUCAAUUUUCAGGAUCAGUAAUAAUGGAAAGAGUUGUAACUAGAAGUCAGAGGCUUAAAUCCUUAAACAAGUGCAGCAGCAGUUACAACGAUGAUUCAAACUCCAAUUCAAAAAUUAGUUCAAAGAUACUCAAAUCCUUAAACAAGUGCAGUAGUUACCAUGAUGAUUCAGACUCUUCAAAGGUCUUGCUCAAUCAAGACAUGAUGCUUCCUAUACUUAGUUUGCUUCCUCUCAACUGUUUGCUCAAUUCUGUAAGUUAUGUUUGCAAACCAUGGGCAACUACUAUUCGCACCUCCCAUUUUGCUCAAGCGUGCCUACAACUUACUAAACCUGGUCUUUACGUUGAAGAUUAUGGUUCUCCAACCAGUUCUUAUUACUUGGAUAUCAAAAGUUAUGUGAAUGGUCACUUUGAAUUUGAAAGGAUUAGUUUGGGAACACCUUCAAAAGUCGGAACCAUUAUAUGUAGUUAUAAUGGCAUUUUGCUGAUGCUUGAUUGGGAUUUGUUUUCUUCACAACCACCACAAGCUUUCCUCGUGAACCCCCUCAUCAAGUCUUUGCUUAAACUUCCUCCUCUACCCUAUUCACUAGAACGCCCAUACCCUUCAGCUCAAUUUGCUAUAGUUUCUGCUCCUCACACUGCCAAAUUCAAGUUGUUCUUUAUAGACAUCCUAGAGGUUUCAGGUGCUCUUUAUUAUGUUUUCUAUGUACUAAGAAUUGGAAUAGAUAUCUCAUGGAAAGAGAUAGAUAGAAAAGAAGCUCCUAUAGCAUGGAAUACUAUUUGGAAACCACUUUAUGAUGGAUCCAAUUAUCUUUAUUGGAUAUCUGCACAUCAUCAAGUAACUGUGUUUGAUGUUGACAAGGAAAUUACGAUUCUUAUGGAGAGGAAAUCAGAUUUCUUGCAUUGUCAGUAUUGUUGAGAAUAAAAGAUAUAAAAUCUAUAUAUUGGAUUUUGAUUCUGGAAAAUGGUCUCUUUAUCAUGAAAUGGGACCGUUUGAUUAUGUGGCUGCUUGCGGCCAAGAGUUUUUUGUUAAGUUUCUUCUAUUUCGUUGUUGGAUCCACGAUGAAAUCAUCUUUCGAGUAUCUAGAUGUUCAACGAGAGAAGAAAAUUUGGCUAUAGGUGGCAGGUACACUAUGCAUUUUAGUUACAAUGUCAAGACUAGACGAGUGACAAAGAUUGAGGACAUUGCUAUGUUCAAUAACGAGGUGUGGCUUCACACCAACAGCCUAUUUUCAUUGCCAAGUACUCCGACAUAGUUUGGUUUCUUCGGAUAGUAUAUCUAGUGGUAAACUUUAUAUUUAUCUGGGUUGGCACAACAAGUGUUUAUGUUUCUAUUUAGUUAUGUAGUUUGGCAGUGGCCAAACAAAUGAUGAAUUUACGAAAAGGGUAGCAAACCAAAACCUGACCCUUCGGCACUACCAAUCAUUGAGGAGUCUAAAAGAAUUUGCAAUAUUGCUCCCAACGGAAAGCCCGUAUCUGUCUCGUGUCUUAGAAGAAGGAGUUGUUAUUCGAGCAUCUGACCUCAACAUUGCAUCUAUUCUUGGAGUUAUCGUGGCGGCAUUGUUUUCUGGGCUGAUCUGGUUGGGGCUAAGCAUAUAUAUAGCAGCCUAAAGAAAUGGACACAAUUAUAUGGUAGCUUUUACAAGCCAUCAAGGUAUUUGGAAGAAAGAGCAACAAAAGGCAUUCCUUUGAGUGCACCUGCUUCAUCUAAUCCAACGACGAAGGCGCGUCUGUGAGAAUAUGAGAAGGAAAUGAUCUUACAAAGUUUUUCUCAAGUUGGAUGUUCUAAGAUAUAGGGAAUUUAGCUCAUAAUGUUUUUUUCCUUCCAAGUUUAAUUAAUAAAUAGAAUUAUAUUUCCUUUUAUUAUAUAUUCCCACACUUAACAGGAAAAUAAAUGUUUUUUUUUUCUUUCAAAAAGUGUGCUCUUAGAGUUUGACUAACCAUUCCAAAAACUAGUUUGUUGCAAGUCAAUUUUUGUCUUCUAUGGCCCUUUGCUCCAUGAAUGUGCCGUUUUGGCUGUUCUAAACAAAAAAAAAACACCUUUUGAUAAGGACGAAACAGGUUUUUUACUCACUUAGUAAUAAAUUUAUAAACAAAAGUUAAUAUUUUACAAAUUUGAUGCAAUUUAUUUAAUUUUAUUUUGAAAAAAAAUGUAUUUUUAGAAUAAAAUAGUUAAAUGAAACAAAGUGAAAAUUUUUUUCUUUAUAAUUUGUAAUAAGAGAAGUGUGUUUUUUUUCUUAUAC